ACCCGGUGCUUGCACCGGUGAUUAGUGGCGAACGGGUGAGUAACACGUGAGUAACCUGCCCUUAACUCUGGGAUAAGCCUGGGAAACUGGGUCUAAUACCGGAUAUGACUCCUCAUCGCAUGGUGGGGGGUGGAAAGCUUUAUUGUGGUUUUGGAUGGACUCGCGGCCUAUCAGCUUGUUGGUGAGGUAAUGGCUCACCAAGGCGACGACGGGUAGCCGGCCUGAGAGGGUGACCGGCCACACUGGGACUGAGACACGGCCCAGACUCCUACGGGAGGCAGCAGUGGGGAAUAUUGCACAAUGGGCGCAAGCCUGAUGCAGCGACGCCGCGUGAGGGAUGACGGCCUUCGGG
rnacentral:rRNA from 1 species